rnacentral:rRNA from 1 species
UGCAGUCGAGCGAACGGACGAGAAGCUUGCUUCUCUGAUGUUAGCGGCGGACGGGUGAGUAACACGUGGAUAACCUACCUAUAAGACUGGGAUAACUUCGGGAAACCGGAGCUAAUACCGGAUAAUAUUUUGAACCGCAUGGUUCAAAAGUGAAAGACGGUCUUGCUGUCACUUAUAGAUGGAUCCGCGCUGCAUUAGCUAGUUGGUAAGGUAACGGCUUACCAAGGCAACGAUGCAUAGCCGACCUGAGAGGGUGAUCGGCCACACUGGAACUGAGACACGGUCCAGACUCCUACGGGAGGCAGCAGUAGGGAAUCUUCCGCAAUGGGCGAAAGCCUGACGGAGCAACGCCGCGUGAGUGAUGAAGGUCUUCGGAUCGUAAAACUCUGUUAUUAGGGAAGAACAUAUGUGUAAGUAACUGUGCACAUCUUGACGGUACCUAAUCAGAAAGCCACGGCUAACUACGUGCCAGCAGCCGCGGUAAUACGUAGGUGGCAAGCGUUAUCCGGAAUUAUUGGGCGUAAAGCGCGCGUAGGCGGUUUUUUAAGUCUGAUGUGAAAGCCCACGGCUCAACCGUGGAGGGUCAUUGGAAACUGGAAAACUUGAGUGCAGAAGAGGAAAGUGGAAUUCCAUGUGUAGCGGUGAAAUGCGCAGAGAUAUGGAGGAACACCAGUGGCGAAGGCGACUUUCUGGUCUGUAACUGACGCUGAUGUGCGAAAGCGUGGGGAUCAAACAGGAUUAGAUACCCUGGUAGUCCACGCCGUAAACGAUGAGUGCUAAGUGUUAGGGGGUUUCCGCCCCUUAGUGCUGCAGCUAACGCAUUAAGCACUCCGCCUGGGG